GCCACCGAGAUUAAAUUUGGCUAGUGCGGUGGAGCCUGAAGCAGAAGUGAUGAACGUGUCUCCUGCGACCCAGUUGGUCCUGGCUUCUUCGGAUAAAAUAAUUUCUGUUCGGGAAGGAAGUGAAAUUGUCAAAAUCAGCACUUCACCCUUGACCAGAGACUAGCUUCAGGGAAGAGCCCAGCUAACAACAAAACAAAUAGUAGAGCUGUUGUUUGUUGCUGAGUGUGCCAGAAAAUGUCCAAGUUCCAACACAGCUUGUCUGCCUACCUUGAUGUCUGGAACCUCAGCUGGAAGACUCAAAUGAUUGGGACCUGGAAUCAUCUGAAGGCUUCUUCCUUCCCAUAUAUGUCCCCCAAGCUGGGAUAACUUGAAAGCUAGACUCAAGACUGGGUGUGAUAGCUCAUGUCUGUAAUCCCAGCACUU